rnacentral:rRNA from 1 species
GCUGGCAUACUACCCUGGGCACACCUAAUUUCGGCUGAUUUCAGAGCUAAGUAGGGUCAGCCUGAUUUGUAUUUGAAUGGGAGAUUACCGGACAACACUAGAAAUCUCCACGU